rnacentral:rRNA from 1 species
UACGGAGGGGGCUAGCGUUAUUCGGAAUUAUUGGGCGUAAAGGGCGCGUAGGCGGCCCGGUAAGUCAAAGGUGAAAUCCCUCGGCUCAACUGAGGAACUGCCUUUGAAACUGUCGGGCUUGAGGCCGGGAGGGGGUAGCGGAAUUCCCAGUGUAGCGGUGAAAUGCGUAGAUAUCCGGAGGAACACCGGUGGCGAAGGCGGCUUCCUGGACCGACACUGACGCUGAGGCGCGAAAGCUAGGGGAGCAAACAGG